GACUUGGAAAGAGAGAGACUUAAGGUUAUAGCACUAAAGUAUUAGAAAUUUAUUGAUUUUACUUUGUUGUUGUUGGGGUUUUUUGUUUGUUUUUUAUUAAAGGAUGAUUUUAGACGGUAUUGUGGAGCUAUUGCACGCAAGAGAAUUCGUCUGGGCAGAAAAUAUGUUAUUUCCCACAAACAAGAGAUUCCACUUAGCGUACACUGGGAUAUUCGCAACCAGGUAUCCCUGAGUGAUGACAAUGUGGAGGCUUUCAAAAAGUUGGUGGCCAAAAGUGGUUGGGAGAUCACCAGUGCUGUGGAAAAGGUAGGAGGCAUCCAGGUGUAUGCACAAACAACUCAUUAUA